rnacentral:rRNA from 1 species
UACGUAGGGUGCAAGCGUUGUCCGGAAUUAUUGGGCGUAAAGAGCUCGUAGGCGGUCUGUCACGUCUGCUGUGAAAACUCGGGGCUUAACCCCGGGCCUGCAGUGGGUACGGGCAAACUAGAGUGCGGUAGGGGAGACUGGAAUUCCUGGUGUAGCGGUGAAAUGCGCAGAUAUCAGGAGGAACACCGGUGGCGAAGGCGGGUCUCUGGGCCGUAACUGACGCUGAGGAGCGAAAGCGUGGGGAGCGAACAGG